UUGAAAGCAAAAAUGAAAAAUUUCAACUAAUGCAAGCAAACUAAAAAUCAGAGCAAAAAUAAACUCAAAAAGUAAAAAUUCAGAAAUAUGCACCCCCACACCUAAAUCAUGCAUUGUCCUCAAUGUAUAAGAAACAUAAAAGAACAAAGGAAACUGAGUACUCCCCUGGGUGUGGUGUGCAUGGCGAUCCACUUGAUCAAGACUCAAGUAAUUGGAGAAGGAAAAAGAGUCCCAACUGUAUUGAGCAAAAAGUGUAGUACUCCUUUUGAUUUUGUCAUAGCCCAUCCUACUUUUUCCAUGUACUCAUGAAGUAACAUGAUUAGCUUCUCCUCUUUCAGAUGAGGUGUGCCUCUAGCUCUCAUAUUUGCAUUCUUGAGAUGAUUGGGAAACACUUUGAACUCCAAUUUGUGUUUCUCUAUGUGUAGCUGCAAAUUGGUACUAAAAUCUGGCAAAACAAACUCUACCUUGUCUGGAAGUUUGGGAAUGCAUUGAUCUGCAUGCUCCUUUGGUUUAGGUGCUUGGAACACCAUUUGUUCAUUGUGAGCAUGGGAUGUUUGCAUUGGAAGGCUGAAAGGAGUUUCAGAUUGCGAACUAAGCUGCAGUGAGGAAUUCGGCGUCUGAAAGGCAGUGAUGUUCGGCGGCCGAAGGAUGUCUGUAUUCGGCGGCCGAAGGUCUUCAGUAUGCGGAACAGGCUGUGGCGAGGGAUUCGGCUUCCGCAAGUCAUUCAAGUUCGGUGGCCGAAGAGCGUCUUCUGUCUGCGCAAUGUGUUCCUGAAGUGGUGCAACAGAAUGCGAUAUUUGAAGCUCAGUGGGGUUCGGCGGCCGAAAGUGGUAUGUGUUCGGCGGCCGAAUGUCUUCUGUCUGCGCAACUUCAAUCUGCUGGAUGUUGCAGACGGUUUCUUUCAAUUCUGGCUCUUUCUGACUUUCAUCAUCUUCUUGGCUAGCCUCCCUACAUGAAUCAUUGGUUAGAAUAUCAUCUUUUAUAUCAAAAAUACCUUUGCUCAGACAAUCAAUGAUAUUUGAAUUAUCAACAAGUUCUGUUUGAUCCGUUGGUUGGGACAAACAGUAUUCUGGUUGUGUUUCUUUAGCAACUCGAUCUUGCACUUGCCAACUUUCAUCAUCUAUCUCUUCAGCUUGAAGCUCUUCCUCUUUUCUUACCAUGUCUGCUCUCCAUUUGGCAGCUAUUCGAUCAGUUUCCUGUUGGACAUAUUGCAAAGUCUCCAUCAUCUCAUAAAGAUCAAUUCUGUGACUUUGAGGUAUUGCUUGGGCUUGAUAGUUUUUGUCAUAGCCAUAAUUCGGAUGAUCUCCCCAACAUGGAUUGUAAGUGUUAAGGCGGAGUUGUUGUUCUUCAAAAGCUCGUUCAGCUUGGUCUAUAAUAAAAAUUUUUGCAGCAUCGAUUUUUUCAUAAAGUUGACAAAGGAAAAAAGGUAUACUUACCUCGUCCAUGAUUCAGAUCUGGUCAUGAAAGAAAAAUAAACAAGUAAAAUCAAUUCCCCGGCAACGGCGCCAAUUUUUGACUUGCGGUUGUCGAAGCCGGUCAAAAAUAACCUUUCUGGUUAUCAACAAUUUACAACUGCAGAUAGUGGUGAAAGGAUCGAAUCCACAGGGAAUUGAAGACUUACCUAUUUUCCUUAUCAAGACCAAUAAAAUAAACUAAAAUAAAAAUAAACUGCAAAAGAAGAAAACUGAAAACGAGAUAAACUGANNNNNNNNNNNNNNNNNNNNNNNNNNNNNNNNNNNNNNNNNNNNNNNNNNNNNNNNNNNNNNNNNNNNNNNNNNNNNNNNNNNNNNNNNNNNNNNNNNNNNNNNNNNNNNNNNNNNNNNNNNNNNNNNNNNNNNNNNNNNNNNNNNNNNNNNNNNNNNNNNNNNNNNNNNNNNNNNNNNNNNNNNNNNNNNNNNNNNNNNNNNNNNNNNNNNNNNNNNNNNNNNNNNNNNNNNNNNNNNNNNNNNNNNNNNNNNNNNNNNNNNNNNNNNNNNNNNNNNNNNNNNNNNNNNNNNNNNNNNNNNNNNNNNNNNNNNNNNNNNNNNNNNNNNNNNNNNNNNNNNNNNNNNNNNNNNNNNNNNNNNNNNNNNNNNNNNNNNNNNNNNNNNNNNNNNNNNNNNNNNNNNNNNNNNNNNNNNNNNNNNNNNNNNNNNNNNNNNNNNNNNNNNNNNNNNNNNNNNNNNNNNNNNNNNNNNNNNNNNNNNNNNNNNNNNNNNNNNNNNNNNNNNNNNNNNNNNNNNNNNNNNNNNNNNNNNNNNNNNNNNNNNNNNNNNNNNNNNNNNNNNNNNNNNNNNNNNNNNNNNNNNNNNNNNNNNNNNNNNNNNNNNNNNNNNNNNNNNNNNNNNNNNNNNNNNNNNNNNNNNNNNNNNNNNNNNNNNNNNNNNNNNNNNNNNNNNNNNNNNNNNNNNNNNNNNNNNNNNNNNNNNNNNNNNNNNNNNNNNNNNNNNNNNNNNNNNNNNNNNNNNNNNNNNNNNNNNNNNNNNNNNNNNNNNNNNNNNNNNNNNNNNNNNNNNNNNNNNNNNNNNNNNNNNNNNNNNNNNNNNNNNNNNNNNNNNNNNNNNNNNNNNNNNNNNNNNNNNNNNNNNNNNNNNNNNNNNNNNNNNNNNNNNNNNNNNNNNNNNNNNNNNNNNNNNNNNNNNNNNNNNNNNNNNNNNNNNNNNNNNNNNNNNNNNNNNNNNNNNNNNNNNNNNNNNNNNNNNNNNNNNNNNNNNNNNNNNNNNNNNNNNNNNNNNNNNNNNNNNNNNNNNNNNNNNNNNNNNNNNNNNNNNNNNNNNNNNNNNNNNNNNNNNNNNNNNNNNNNNNNNNNNNNNNNNNNNNNNNNNNNNNNNNNNNNNNNNNNNNNNNNNNNNNNNNNNNNNNNNNNCAGAUGGCUCUCAGAAGAGGAAAGCGCGCAGAUUGUUUCUGAAUAGGAAGGAUGCACGAAUUUUGGUCUUCAAAAGGGAAGAUAUGCUGUCCAUACAUUCCUUUUUAGGUGGAGCCUCUUUUGAAAUUCGAAUGUUGAACGCAGAAGAGGAAGAGCAUCUCUUUGAGAUCUUGCUGCCUAAAUAAGAUGAUAUGAUUGCAGCAGUGUGUGCACAUCUUUGAACAAGGAAAGAAAGAUGUGCGAUUUGAAUUUCAAAUAAUCUUCUGACUGAGCUUUCCUUGUUUGCUUUUGCUUCUGCACUUUCCUCAUUUGAAAACUUUCCUUUUCUGAAAACUUUCCUUAUUUGGAAACUUUCCUUAUUUGGAAACUUUCCUUUUUCGGCACUUUCCAUAUAUGGCACUUUUUAGCAGUUUUAAGAGCAUUUUCUCCAGAUUGUCUAUUUACACCUAAUAUCUGCAAAACAUAAUUAAAACCACAAAAUUAAGCAGAAAAGAUGUAAAUAAACAUCAAGAACAUAAUGAUAAAAUGGACUAAAAUAUGCUCUAUCAGUACAGUAGGGGUGAAUAAAUAACACCAAUAGACAACAUUGUCCCUCUUCUUUAUGCAUAUAGUAUAGGAAUUAAAAUAUCUUAAUGGAAUCUAUAUAUUCUCAUGAAAAAUUGAUUAAAUAAUGGUAAUUUUAAGGCAUAAUCUUAUUAGUAUUUUUUAUUUUAAAAAUAUAGAUAGUGGGUGAAAUUUAAAGUUGAAUUUUUCUAUCUAUUUAUUUUGAGAUAUUCAAUUUUAUAUUAAAAAAAUUAACUUCAUAUUGAAAAAAAGAAAAAGGUACCUCCCAUUUUAUAACACAUUAAUUGUAUUCCACCUUUAUGUUUAUUUCAAAUAAAAAUAGUUGUAAAUUAAAUUUAAUAUUUUUUAGGUUAUAAAAUUUGAAAUAAAAUCAAUAAAUUUUGUUAAAUGGUAUUUUAUAAUUAAAUGUAACAUACGGAUAUUUUAAAGAAUAAGUUUAAAUCAAUUUGGUUUUAAUUUUUUUAAAAUAUUAAUUAUUAAUUUAUUAUUAUAAUUUAACCACUUAUAUUUAUUUUUAUAUUCUUAUAUUUUUUUGAUGUUGGACAAGCCGAGAGAUUUUUUUUUUCUUCUUUUUAUUAAAAAAAGGUUAAUUCUUUUUUAUUUGGUAAAAACUUGACACACCAAUAUAGUAAUUAUAGUUCCAUGAAACUCAAUUGGAUCUGAAAGCACCAAAUAUUCAUAUUCUUGUAAAGGUCUAGAAAUUAUUUGACAUGUGAAAAUAUCAAAUGCUGCAUGAAACUUGUCUUAUUGGAAACAAUUCAAGAGAACCAUUGACGUGUUCUAACAUGUCCUAAUUGCAGGGCUAAGAGUUCAUUACGGUAUACUGUUUCAGGCCCAAAUUCAUGUGUUGUAUUUUAAAGCUUGGGCUCAUAAAAACUAGGAAAAAUUCAUAAUUUCCUAUGAAUAAAAUUUAUUAUUAUUGCUGUUUAAAAAAAAAUCAUUAUUAUUGGCUAACUUGAUUUGGCCUAGUUUCAAACUCUCAAAUCUCGAUCCAUCUACUAAAAAAUAUUAUUAUUUACUUGCAUGACAUGGAAAAUUGAAUGUUCAAUGUAAUUAUUUACAGAAUAUACAGAUUUGAAUUUAAAAGAAGACCUGCCCAAUUGAUCCUGGUCGAGUGCCAGUGGAUUUUGGAUUGGAAUGUCAAUUUUGAUAAUUGAAGUGGAUUGCUGGAGCUGCUUCCCUUAGAUUCUGAUUCAGUUUUGAUUCCAAUCUUGAUAUCGGGUUGAAGAUUUAGGGUGAUUUGGUGGGCUCGAUUUGUUAAAAAAAUUUGAAGUUUACGUCUGAGAGUGAACAAAGAACUCUACUUUUCUUAAAUAUCUUCGGUUUAAUUUUCAUCAAUUAUCUUUUUAGUUUUGCUAUCAUACAAUAUGGAUUUUUUUUAGUUUGGUUUGAAAAUUCACAAAGUAUGCGCAAAUGUAAAAUUUUGACCUAAAACUAUUCUAUUUGUUUAUAGAAAAUAUUUUUCAAAAUAUUCUUUUAUAUUUUUUAACAUUUAAAUACUUAAAAAAAUUAGUCAAUUAAAAAAAUAUAUACUAAAUUUCAUUGCUCAAAGAAAAACACAAAACUAAUACAUCUAAGGAAAAAAUUUUACUGGCAUCAGAGUGUUUAUAUAUCCAACCAAUAAAAAGCUAUUAAUGUGUAUUUAUAAGUGAAACCUAUUAUUAUCAUAAUUUAUACGGCAUUUGUGAAUUGGCUGGAUGUUUACACCCAAGUGCAGAGAAGACUUGCCCUUGCAUAUAUAUCGAUGUUGAAAUCCUAAGAUAUGGAGACAGGGUAAUUUGUAUAAUUAAGGUUACUAGACUUGCCAUAGAGACCUCAGCCACAUCAAGCGUCGAGGUCCUUUGAUUGUCAUGAAUGCAAUUGCAUUCUUAUCAUCUUUAAGAACAUUAACACCAUUUAUGAACUCAUUAUCAUCCAACUCUUCCAAUUUCUGCAGAUCCUCUAGGCACUUUUGAUACAUAGUUUUCUCAUUCAUGGCAUUCAUUUGCACAGCUCUCAUUGUGGCUGCUGAGAACAUCUCAUACAAAGCAUUAUCUAGUGUCUCUCCAACGUUAUCGCAUGCUCUUCUCUUACGACCUGAUGCCGAACCAGCAACAAAUUUUCGUUUCCUUGGUUGUAUGUCAUUUAUGCGGAUUAUUGAAUCAGAAUCAAGGGUACCAUCAACUACCUGUGUAGCAAGGUUAACCGGCUCUGAUGAUCUCACUGUUUCUGUAUUGCUGUUUCCCUCUUCAGUUUCAACCGGUAGUCCACUUGGAACCAGGAACUUUCCGCCAACUCUUUCUCCUGUAUCAGCCAUGUCACUAAAUGGUAGAUUAUUCAACAACACAACUAAUAAAGGACAUUUUGUUUACCUUCAAAUAUGAUGGACAUCUGUUUAUACAGGGGAAAGCUCUUUCGCCGAAAAGGCCUUGCCUCACUUCGUACCUAACAUAACAUUAUGUCAGCUUCGUACAAAUGCAUAUCAAAUAUAACUUAGAAAGUAAUUUACCGACCGCAAUGUAGCUAUCCCAAACUUUAUCAUCAGCCACAACCAUUUGCCGCGUUUCAUCCCAACCAAAUCCUGUAUGACUAAGCAGAGUUUUAACAACACCAUAUUCUUUCUUCAUCACAUUGUAACGGUUUUUAAUUUGGUUUUCCUCCAAACUCAUACCAAACUUCUUAUUAAAAUCAUGAGUGACAGAUCUGAUCACUUCAUUUUUGAAUUCAUUGUAAGCAGUUCUUCCACAGUUGUGUUGCUCAAUAAAAAGUUCAACCAGAUAAGCAUCUCGAGUUGGAGUCCAUUCUGCCUUCGGUCGCCCUAAGAUCCCAUCCUGUGGAGCAGACAUACUCUAGCUCUUUGCUAAAAAGGAAAAGACCAGUCAAGAUGGGACAAUGUGCUAAAUCAACAAAACAAAAUUUAUACAACAAUAUCUCAGAUUUAGAACUUACAAGGAAAAAGCUACCUUUUCCUAAAUAAAUCAAGUCGAACAGCAUUGGUCUAUCUCAUGUGGAAUAUUUAGAUUUACAAACCUGUUUUGAAUUAGUGAAGAAAUUAUUGAAAAAGCAUAUCCACAAAGGGAGGCUUUCAGGGUAAGGAAAACAAGGCCAACAUGCAGAACAACAUUAUGUUCCUUUACAGCAUUAUCUAUGAUUGUUCAGUUAAUGGUAAAAAUUAAAAAACAGUAUUUUGAUGUCUACAUGAAGUGAUUUGCCUUUCACCUAAUCUAUGGUAUUGAUUGUGAAGAGUGCAUGAUAGAGUUACCAUUAUAGAUGCAUCUAUGAUCUUCAUUUAUAGCGAUAAUUUCACUUGACCCACGCUCUUUCUUCAGAGCAAGUCUUAUGAAAGCCAAAUUUCUCUCUGCAUAUUCUGGGUUGGCAAAUUUACCAGAAGUUUAAGUUGAGCAAUCUCAGACUACCCUGGCCAAUCAUUUUACUGCCCUCCCUCAUCCCUCUUCCCCCUUAUUUUUAAUAACUGGUUACCUGGUACCUGUUAAAUAGAAACUUCAACAAAACUCACUUCCAUUGACAACCAAAGCCCAGAUCUUCUUCAAACCUCAAAUGCUGUUCCUAUUAGAUCAGAAAUAAUGAUAAGCUGACCAGGAUAGGUCCAGCAAAUUACUCUUAAUGUAGUUAAAAAAGAGUCAUUAUUUCAUUCCUAUGGCAAGAAGAUUUCAUCCUCAUAAGGUUGACUUGGUUCAUCUUUUGAAGACUGAUUCAUACCAUCACCACACAAAUUGUAAGGUUGAUAAUAACUAAUAAUACAUAUUAGGAUUCUGAUGUCAGUUUGAACAAGCACCAAGAGAAAAGAAAAUGCUGAAAAUAUUAUUAGGGUAGGAAACUGAUUUCUUUAAAUCCCACCCAAAUAUAAGAAGCCAAUUCAACUACAAUGGAAAAUCUGAAAACUCCAAGCACUGCAUGAUACCCAUUCUAAUCUAUGAUGGAUACCCAAAUUCUAAUUUAAAUCGAUCAUCAUAUCAUCGUGCUGCUGCCAGUUUUAAAAAUGUUCUCAAAACUCCAAAAUACUAAUUCUAACUUCAAAUAAGAUCAAUACUACCAAGAAAAUAUGAGCAGAUUGAAGAGAGAGCAGAUGAGAUAAUAUUAUGUUAGCUGUGUAAUCUAAAAUCAAACAUUUCCAAGUUAUUUACUUCAAGAACUUGAACAUGGAAGAAUUAAAAGAUACUACACUACAUGGUACUCGGUUUCCUUUUCAAUUUGUACUCAUUUCCCACCGUUUCUCAGUCAACAAACAGAGCAUGAAAUUAAACUGAGCAAACAGCAAAGAGAAACAUCAAUAGGAAAUACCUGGAGAUUUAUCGACACCGGGGAAUUUAUCGGUAAUCGGAGCUCCGGCGACCGGCGAAUGGAGUAGCGGUUAUGUGUGAUGUAUGCUUGAUUUGUUUUAAGUGCAGUUUAAAGGGCUAAGAUUAUCGGAAAGUAAGAAAUUAAAAUGAUGGCAAAUUAACUUUUUAAUCCCUCAAAAAUUUUAUUAAAAAGUUAUUUAAGUUUUAUUUAAAUAAAAUAAUUUAUUUAACUUUUUAAAUUAAAAAUAGCCACUUAAUAACACCGUUAAUUUUUCAUUUACGAGUUAAAAUUUUGAAUAUUUAAAUUUUUAAAAAAUAGUUUAAAAGUCAUUAAAUUUUUAUUGAAUAAAUAAAUUUAAUUUUUAAAUUUAAAUAUUUAUUUAUAUUUAUAUGGUUAAUAAAUAAAAAUAAAAUAUAAUAAAAUUUUAAAUAUUUAAAUUUAAAAUUAUUAUAAAGUAUGAAGAAAUAAUUCACUUUAAAAAAUUUAAAUUAUAUUUUUAUUUUUUUAAUUAAAUAUUAAUUUUAAUAUUAACCUUUCAUUUAAAAAUUUAUAAAUAUUAUUAGAAUAUGUAAAUUUAUUAUAAUUAUAGAUAAUAUUAUGAUAUAAAAUAAAUAAUAUAAAUCAUAAAAAUAUAUUGAAAAAUUAAUUUAUAAAAAGCUAAUUAAUAUUCUUUUAUAAAUUUUAACUAUAAAAACUAUGAAAAUAUAACAAUUACUAAAAGUCAUUCAAAAUUAAUAAAAAAAUUAUAAGAUAUUUUUUAAAUUAAUUUAUAAUAUUAUUUAAAUCUCAUAUCUAUAUAAAAAGUUAUAUUUAAAUUUUUAUUAUAUUAUUUUAUUUUAUUUUUUUAUUUUAAUUAUAUAUAUUAUAUUAUAAUAAUUAUAAAGACAUUAAUUUUUUUUUAAAAAAAUUAAUAUUAAAAUUUGACCUUUAAUCAAUAAAAAAAUAAAAAAUAUAUAAAAUUAUUUAUGAUUUUAGUUGAUAUAAAAAAAUUUCAAUUUACUAUUUAUUAAGUUUAAAUUUUUUUUAAAAUAAUUUAAAUAAUAUUUUAUUAAUUAUUCUAUUCAUUUAUAACAAUAUAAAUUAUUAAUAAAUUAAAUUAUUAAAAUAUAAUAUUAAAAUUAUUUAUUUACGGAUUUAAAUGAUUAUUAUGAUAUUUAUUAAAAAUUUUAUUAUUUUUUAUUUAAUAGAAAUUUAAAAAUAUUAGUUUAAGAGAUUAAAUGAAUUAUUUUAUUUUACUAAAUUUAAAUAAUAUUGGAGAAAAUUUUCAAAGAUGUACCACGUCAGACAGUCUGCUAGAUUAUGUCUCCACGUUAAAGCUAAUCGCUCUACUUUUGGGCUUAUAAAGAAUGGGCCACUAAAUCCGAUCCAUUUUAAAAAUUUCUUUUAUUUUUUUAAGUAAUAAUUCACCAUAAUAUAUAAAUAAACUACAUAAUAAAUUAAUCAUAUUAUUAAAAAAUAAAAAUUAUUAAAUAUUCUGUGUAUCUAUAAUUUAAAUAAAAUUUAAAUUUUUAUGAAUAUUUACUGCACAUUUUCUCAUGCAAUAAUUAUUAUAUUCCAUUUUUAUUUAAUAAAUUAUGGGAAAUAAUGCUUAAGUAAUUCAGAUUUCAACUUUUUGGUGUGUGAAGUAUUCCAACUCAAUAAUUAAAAAAAAAAUUAAAUAAUUUUUUAAAAAGCAAUGAUAAUAUCAAAUCAAUUUACGUUAUGAGUAAUAAUAUUUAUGAAAGUAGUAAUGCCAACAAANNNNNNNNNNNNNNNNNNNNAAAAAAAGCCAACUUAAUUUUUAUCAUAUCAUUAUUCAAAAUUAAUCAUAUUAAAUGAAUGAUUGUGCUCAACAAGUUUAGUAUUAAGGUGCAUGCGUUGGACAACCCAAAAGAAAAGAAAUCAAGGUCUAAAAUUUAGAAUAAUAUAAUUAGAGAAAUAGAAUGGAAAAUAAAAAAAUAUUAUUUAAAAAGUUAUUAAUCAUUGUCUUGAUUUUAAACAUUAUAUUAGAAUAUUUUUAAAUUUUUUAAAAAAUGCAUUAAUUAGUCAAACCAUUAAAUUUAAUUAUUAAACAUUAAAGAAAAAUAAUAUAAUAUCCUUAAUAUUUAGAAAUCAAUUAAUGUAUUUUUUUAUAUUAUAAUAAUUAAAUAAUAAACAUUGGUAAAAUUAACGAAUUAAAUAAUUAAUAAUUUUUAAAAAAUUUCAAUAAUAUUUUAAUAUAUUUUUUAAAUUAAACAAUCCGCUAAUAAAUUUUUUAAAUAAUGCCAAUCCGACUAAAAGAUUUCAAGAUUUGCGUGUAUUUAUAUUUUAAUUUAAAUAUUUUAGUUUUAAUUUAUUUGAUCCAAUUUUUAUAUUUUAAUAUAAUUUUAGCUAAUUUAUAAAUUUAUAAAUUUAAUAAUUUAUAUGGCAAUUUAAUUAUAUAACUUGGCAAUAUUAUCGUAUAUUAUUAUAAUUAUUUUUUAAUUGGUUAAUCGACAAAAAGACCUAAUAUUUAUAUUAUUUUAUAUUUUAAUUCAAAAUUUAAAUUUUAGAUAAAUUGAUAUUUAUGUUUGAAUGUAAUUUAAAAUUUAAAAUUUUAAAUAUAUUACUGCAUAUCAUCUAAUCGAAAAUAAUAAUAUAUAUAAAAUAAUUAAAAAUAAUAUAUCUAUUAUAAAAUCUUGAUCAUUAUUAAUACAAAAACAGUUAAAUUACUAUUAUUUUUAAAUUAAAUGUAUUAUUUAACUAUAGUUAAAUAUGAGUUAAUGUUAUUUUCACAUAUAAAAUUAGUUUAUAUUUAAAAAAUAAUAAAGUAUCAUGUUUGGUAUUCUAUCUAAACUUUUAUAUUUUAAUUUUUAAAAAUUAACUAAAAUUACAUAAAUAUUGAACCAAUUAAAUUAAAAUUUUAACGGUAAAAUAAUAUAAACAUUAAACCUUUUUCAAUUAUUUAGUCAUUAAUUUAUAUAAAUAAUAAUAAUAUACAUGACAUGUCAAUUGGACUAUCAAAUUUAAAAAUUUGCAUAUAGAUUAAAAUUGCACAAAAUACAAAAGUCAGGUAAUUAAAUUAAAAUUAAAAUAUUUAAAUUAAAAUGUAAAUAUGCAUAAAUAUUGGGUUUUUUAAAUCAAUUGUCCUCCAAAUAAUAUACACUAAAUAAGUAAUUUUCUAAAAAACGAGUGAGAAUAUAGAGUGAAAUCAAAACGGCAAGAAAAUACUAAUGAGACACAUUGGAAUGCUUUGUUGUGCUUUGGAGCAAAAGCAGGCAGCUUUAGUGAUGUAACAUUAAAGUGGGAAGAAAAAUGGAGAUAUUUUCUAUAUGUGAUUAUUUGAUUCUAAAAAUUGCUUCCAAAAGGGGAAGCUAAUAUCAUGGUGUUUGUUGAUAAAUGGGUUAAAAUCAAUAUAGAUAGCUAGCAAUGGAGUUCACCACAAUUCAAUUAAUCAUCAAAUUCAAUAUAUUGUCCCAAGUCAAUGUUGGUUUCUAAACCCAUGCCUCUUUUUAGUACCAAAAGGCAAACGUGCUUCCUUGCUUCUCUUCUGCUUUUGAAAAAACAAAUGGUCAUUUUGAAAGGAGAUGAAAUGCUAAAGCUUGAUCCAUUAAGGGUCAUUGCUAAAGGUAAAAGUAUAUCUUAGAAAAAAAAUCCUAACCAAAUCUCCACUAAUUUAGAUAAAAAAUUUUACUUAACAAAAGCCUGAAAAUAAUAUUCAAUCUCGAUGAUGUCGUAAAAAUAAAUUUUUUAAAAAAAUAUUAAUGUUUGUUUAUUUUUUUUAUUUAAAAAAAAAUAUUAUUUGAUUCUUGUAGUAUAAAAAAAACUCAUUAGUUAAUUUAUCUAUUUUAAAAAAAAUAUAAUAAGAUAUUCAUGAGUUUUUAAAAGGUCUGCAAAUUAAUACAUCCCUUUAUAUUAGCCUUUAAGUAGUAUAGAAAAGUAUAAGAUCUGGAGGGACCAAUUAAUAGAUAUUUUUACAAAUUGAAAGAUUAAUUAAUGAGUUUUUAUAUAUCACAUGGAUUAAAUACUAAAAUGUUUUAACGACUGAAUCUAAUAGAAAACUUAAAAGAUAUUUUCUAAAGUUCAUGAACAUUUUAAUAUAUUUUUAAAAAAUAAGAGAAUAAUUAAUAAAUUUUCAUGCAUCAUAUAGAAACUAGAUGAUAAAUUCUCUUUAAUUAAAAAAUUAAAAUGAAUAUUAUUGUAUUGUACUAUAUAUAUAAAAAAAUCUUGGCAUGAUUGAGAGAAACAAAGUCUUAAUUUAUUGCAAAUAUAACUCAAGAGAUAUAUGAUGGAACUGUAAAUGAUAGCAAAGGAUGAUUAUUGUUCAUCAUAAGUGACUUUAGCAGGCAUGGCAUGCUUAUUCUUGAUUAUGGUUCAUUAAUAAUUAGCUUGUUUUCAUGGUCUUUAUAAGGAAGAUUUAGGUUGUUAAAUUAUGGAAGAGAUUUUGAUCUUUAUUAACUGAAAAAAUGUCAUAAUAAAAACAACCCAAUUAUAGAAUUUGUUGUCCAAUGGUGUCCCCUCAUUUUAGAGAAUAAAGUUCUAAGACAAAGGUUAGCAAAAUUAGCAUGCCUUGUCUAGAUUUAUCAACGUUAGUUUCCCAUGCUAAAAGAUUAUAGCCCAUCUCUCUCUCUCAAGUGCAAAAUCUAUCUGUUUGUGAGAGCCCUAUUUCAGCUUAUGAGAAGAAAAUUAUUAUUUCAUAUGAAAAUAAUGCUUUUACUGAUUUGGUAGCUUCCACUUUUUUGUGAAAAUACUGUAUAAAUUUUCAUAUAUUAUUAAAUCUCAUCCAAUAAAUUGUUCAUAUUUGAAAAUUGAAAGAUUAUUUGACAUUAUAUAUAGGUUAAGCCAGAAAAGCAUUUUUCAGCAAUAAAAAAAUAAUUUUAGAUGAUAUAAGGAGCAAUAGUUUGGAAAAGUUAUUUUAUUAUUCUGGUAGACUUAUAUUAUUAAAAUAUGUCAAAUUUAAUAUUUAAUUUAUUCUUUUUUAAUACUAUUUGAGUAAUAUAUUCAAAUACUGAUUAAUUCAACCACAUUUUCAAAUUACUAUUAGAGUAAAUAUUAAUUCAUUUUAUAUAAAUUUAUAUAAAUAAUUGAGUUAUUUUACCUAUCAAAUUACAUAUCUAGUGCAUGAGUUUUUUUAUUUAAUAAUAAUAAUAAAACUUGUUCUCUCUAAAUGUUUUCAGUUUUACCAUAUCUUAAUUUUUAUUAUUAAUUUAACUCCAACAUUACUCAUGCAUGACUUUAAAGUCCUUUUUAAGAUAAAACUUUCCAAGAUUAAAAAGAUUUUAAUCUUCUUUUCAAAUAGGAACUAAAAGCGUAAAAUUUAAUUGAUAAUUAUAAUUUAGUGUAUAAUUAUAAUUUAGUGUUUUCUUAUGUUAGGGAGAAAACAGUUUAAUAACUUUUUAAGACUGAUUUAAAAUUUUCAUUAUGAAUAGUAUACCAAUGUUAAAAGGAAAUUAUACAUUUAAGAAAAAAGUUUAAAAUAAAUUCUACAUCUUAUUUAUAAUAGAUUAGAUUAUUUUAUUUCAAAUAAAUUUAAAAAUAUAAAAAAAUAAAUUUAAAAUUCAAAUUUCUAGUAAUUACAUGACACAAGACCAUAUAAUUCCCUUUUCUCUCAAUCAUCGUGAAUGAAACAAGGGUCAUAUUGGCUUUCUGUACUCUCAAGAAAAAAUAUUAUCGGCUCUCUAAGUAAAAAAUAAUCUCGAUUAUUAAAAUAAAUUUUUUUAGAGAAUAUUUUUUUCUCCAAUUUUUCUUUUAUUGAACUAUUUUCUGUCAAUGUCAGGCUAUCUUUUUAUGCGUUGGAUGACCUCUUCUAUUCAUGCGGAACAAAGAAUGGUGAUAGUGAAAUUUAUGAAUAUCCAGAUACUUAGGUUCAAAUACAUUAUAAUUUCAUAUAAUUCUUAAACGGUGAAUUAUAUACAUGACUCGUAGAAAAUACGUGAUUAUACAUUGGUUAUAUAAUACAAGAUGAAUUUUGAUCUGUUUGUUUAUUUUUUUUCCGUCCUGAAUAAUUUUUCAACAUAUGCCAUAGUUAUUAGCUUUUUAUUUAUUUUUUUUAUCUAAAUAUAUUUUAGUAGAUAUCUUGAAUUGCUUAUAUCAUACUCUACAUAUUUUUUUAAAAAUGUAAAAUUAAUAUCAUUUGAAAACUCUUGAAAAGAAAAGCUUUCCAAGCAGUAGACUUGCAUUAAUUUUUUCGAUAUUUUUUUAUUGAGAUAUAAUUGAUAAAAGUCGAGACUUUUAUACAAUAUUUUUUUGGGUAAUUUAUAACAAAGUCUAUUAUAUGUAGCACAAUUCACAAUUUAGUCCUUAUCAUUUUAGUCCCUAUCAUUUUAGUAAAAAAUAAUAUAGUCCCUAAGAUUUCUUUCUAUAACAAAAUAGUCAUUCUGUUAAAAUUUGCUGUUAAACUAUAACAAUUUAGCCUUUUGAAUUUUACUUUUUGUCACAGUUUAGUCCUUGUAACUUUAAUAAUUUGUAAUAAUUUAGUUCUUAUGGUUUUAAUAUUUCUAAAAAUUUAGUCCCUUUAAUUUGAGUUGACUCAUUUAAUUAACAGUUAACUAAUGGUAAAAUUAAUAGGACUAUUUUGUUCAUAAAAUAAAAACUCAGAGACUAAGUUGUGGGUUUUACUAAAUCUCAAGGAGUAUAAUGUAAAAUAUUUUUUUUAUUCUAAAAUAUUUAUAGAAUAUGUUAUUUUAAUUACAGUAGAGGUUAGAUAAGCACAAAGUUUAUCAUUUUUGUUUUGGACUGUUAUUUUUUUUUUUUGUAUAUGUAUAAAAAUAUAAUAUAAACUUCUAAUGGGAUGCAAGUCAUUUAUGGUCCGGUACGAUCACUUCUACUGAAUAAAGAGUUCAGGUAGAUGAGAUAAUUAGAUUGUUGAUCAUCUCCGAGAUGAAUCCUAAAGACAUUUCAAAUGAGAUAAAUCGUCUAGUAUAGUUUAUCAUCAAUGUGAUUGAUAAAUUUCUUUUUAAAAAUAUUUUUUUAUAAGACAAAGAAAGAUGUUUUUUUUAAGGAUCGUGUUAUAUAAUCCUAAUCUAAAAGAAAUUUUGGAUUCCAUUUAGAAGAAUGUUAAUGAGUCCUACAGUCGCCUUGAAUUGGAAUUUAUUAGUGAAUAUUCUAAAUGGAUUACAAAUAAGACGACGCGUCGUUCGAUAGGAUUAUCAGAGCAAAUUUUCAAUUCAUGCAUAUUUAAAAAAGUAAUUAUCAAUUUACGCAGGAUUUGAAAAUAUUUUCGGAUCCUGUGUGUCAGCGUAGCGUGUUCGGCAGUCAUUCUGCCGAACACGCUAGUUCGACACCUAUGGUUUCGAACUUUCUAUUGUUCGACACCCAUAGUGUCGAACAAGCUGAUCUGUGCCCCGAAAAUAGUGUAAUUUGCUCCCGUAGCUGCCAGCGUGGCGUGUUCAAUACCCAAGGUGCCAAACACACACAAGAAGAAAACUCUUCGGCACUAUAGCUGAUUAAAGCCUGCAGGGCCGUACCUGCACGCAUGCAUGCAGAGGGGAUUGCACAGGAAUUUGUUCUUGCAUGCAGAAGGAAUUGUACAGGAAUUUGUUCGGCAGUGAUGGUGCCGAACAAAAUCCUAUGCGGUCCGUGGCUCCUUUGCACAUGCAAAAGAAAAGUGUUCGGCACUAUAAGUGCCGAACACUUUUCCAGCUGCUACAUGUACGGCCAUUUAUUCCCAAUGGCUAGUUUGGCAGUCACCCCCCGAUCUCUCUAUAAAUUAUCCCACCCACCACUCUAUAAAUCACUUUAGCCCGCCCCUUUCCGAUCUCUCUAUAAAUUACCCCACCCACUACUCUAUAAACUACUCAAAAUAUGCAUUAUAUCUCAACACAUUGCGUUCUAUAAACUAUUUAUUCCCCUCUACAAAUUUCACAAAAUUAUUAUAUCUACUCUUAUCGAUUCGAUUACAAAAAAAGAAACACAGGUAAGUUUUAAAUAUUUUAUAUUCUAAAUUUUUAUUUUUUUUAUGUAUAUAGUAAAUUGAGAUCAAAUUAUUUAUUAUUCUAAUUUUUUUUUAUCAGAGAAAUGGCAGUUCCUGCAUAUGCUAAUAUUCAUUGGGAUGGUAAUACUAUAAAUAAUUGUAAUGGUUACGAUUAUGAUGGAGGUUUUUCAAAGAUUAUUCCAAUGGGUAAACGGAUAAGUUUUAAUCAAUUGAUCGGUAAAAUUGCUCGUGCAAUUGGAUUAUCCGAGAAUAAUGAAUUUGUAGAGACAAUUAGUUUUAGAAAGCCUACAAUUGUGGAUGGAUCCUUAAAAUUUGAAUGUAUGGAGAUAUGGGUGAAGAUGAUGUAUCUAGUAUGUUUAAUUACUUGUAUCAAAUUGGUAGUUUACUUGGUAUAGAAAUAUAUGUUAAGAUACUUCGUUGUGUUGAUACUACAAAUGAGAAUGCUGAUAUUGGUCCAUCUGAAACUGUUGUGGAAUCAAAUAAUGAACCAUGUGAAGAGUAAAAUGUAGUUGAUGAUUAUGGUUUAUCUGAUAGUCUUGCAGGGCCGUCAAUUAAUUUAUCUGAUACAGUAGGGAAUGAGAACGAGGAUGAGGAUGAGGACGAGGAUAACGAUGACGAUGAUUCAUGGAUGUCUACUGAGGAUGAUGAGGAUGAUAAUGGUCAGGAGGAUAGUGGGAGUGAGUCUCGAUAUUACAACACACAAUUUCCUAAUCCCAUUGUGCAUGUUGUUCAUCCUUCCCUAUACACAGAAAUAGACUUCGAUUUGCUGAGGGUGGAUCCUUAUGAUAGGCUAGAAGGUCAUUCCUUCUGGGAUCCUUCUAAAAAGUUUUCAGUUGGGAUGAUAUUUUCUUCGAGAGAUGUAGUGGCUGCGACUGUAAAAGAAUAUCAUCUAAGACAUCAUCAUCAAUUUUGUUAUCAUGAAACAAGAGAGAAGACUUAUUCUAUAAAGUGUAAAGACAAAGACAGUGGGUGUGCAUGGAGGCUUCGAGCAUCCAAGAAAGAAGGAGAGGAUAUAUGGAAAAUUAUGAAAUACAGUGGACCGCACACAUGUACAAAUUCUCAGUUGACAAAAAACCAUAGCCAAUUGGAUGAAAAUUCCAUUUGUUCAUUCAUCUUUGCAUUAAUUGAACAGCAGCCCGAUAUAAAAAUUGCUGCCUUACAAGCUGAAGUGUGGGAUAAAUUUGGGUACAAGCCGUCUUAUCAGAAAACAUGGAAAGCUAAGCAGAAGGAAAUUGCAAGGCUUUAUAGGGGUUGGGAUGAAUCUUACAGUCGUUUGCGUAGAUUCAUGACUGCUCUUCAUCAUUUUAACCCAGAAACAGUAUACAUGAUUGAAGAUAAUCCACAUUGGAUAAACGAGCGAUUAAAUCCGAUGUGUCGUAUAUUUGACCAUAUGUUUUGGGCUUUUAAGCAAUCGAUUGAGGGAUUUAAAUAUUGCCGACCUGUUAUCUCAAUCGAUGGGACAUUCUUAUAUGGAAAAUACACUGGGUAUAUACUGUGUGCAAUCGCACUCGAUGGAAAUAAUAAACUAUUUUCAUUAGAUUUUGCCAUUGUUGAUAAGGAGGAUGGUGACAAUUGGUCAUGGUUUAUGGAUUGCUUAAGGAUCUUUGUGACCAAUUGAGAAGAUUUGUGUGUAAUUUCAUAUCAACAUGCUGGAAUUCUAAAGGCGAUGCAGAAAGAUUGGUGGCAACCUCCAGCUGGUCAUCAUCGUUAUUGCAUCAGACAUGUUUUGAGUAAUUACAAUAAGAUAUUAAAAAAUAAAGCAAUAAAGGAAGCGUUAUGCAAGGCAGGUAUGUGUCAUAUUUUAAUACGAAGUUUAUUUUAUUUUUAAAAUUUAAAGUCACUUUUGACUUAUGCUAAUUUAACUUUGAUGAACUUGUCAUUUAUAUCAGCAAAUGAAAACCAGAAAAGGAAGUUUUAUGAGGCAAUGAACAAUAUUCAGGAGGUGCACCCUGAAUCAUAUGAUUGGGCAGUGAAGAUAAAUUUAGAGAAAUGGACGAGAUCACACGAUGGUGGACAAAGGUAUGGCGUGAUGACAAAAAACAUGGCAGAAUCCCUAAAUGGCAUGAUGAAAGGAUUUUGGGCAUUGCCAAUAACAACAAUGGUUGAAAAAAAACUUUUUCCAGUGUGUCCAUUAUUUUAAUACGCGGAGGACAAUAUUUUUAGAUCAACAAAGCAAAGUGUAACGACCCGAAAACCGGACAGCUACCGGCGCUAGGAUCCAGAUCGACUUAAAUUCGCCGGGACCCGUAGCAAGCCUACUAUACAUCCUGUGUACCUGAUAAAAUCCCAUACAUGAAAAUACAUUUUCAUAAAAACUUUAAACUUUUCAUAUACCAAGCUUGACCUGUGCAUGCACCAUAACUGUAAACAUAAAACCCCACACUAGAGCCCUCAUCAAAUGCUCUAGCGGGGCAACAUAUAAUACGUCAAGCCUGGUUCAAUAUAACUCAUCAUUAAAACAUUUCAUAUAGAUCAUGUACAAAAAAGGGAUUACCAUUACUAUUAGGGCCAAGCACAAUACUAAACCAUGAAACAUUUCUCUACAUUACAUUACAUCAUACCAUUUUACAUUACAUGUCCACUACUAAUCUAUUACACUUAACACAACCUUCAACCUUGACGACUUCCCAGUCUAUCCAGAACCUGCAAACUUGGGGGUUAGAGGAAAGGGGUGAGCUACUAAAGCCCAGUGAGCAUAACAAUAAAACAAUUUACUAAAUAAAUGCUUUCAUGAAAUGCAUCACAAUACAAACAAUUCACAUCACGGUUGGACUUGUCACCAAUAACCCCCUUUCCUCUUGAUCAUAACAAAAUGCAAGGCGCGUGGAAUGGGCAACCCUGGACUUUCUUACGUGGUGCCAGGACGCGUGGCAUGGGAAGCCCUGGACUUGCUUACAUGGUGCCAGGACGCGUGGCAUGGGCAGCCCUGGACUUGAUUAUCAUACCAUACCGAGGGCUAAUGGGUCAUCCAAUAUCCAUCCACAUCAACAUCAUAAUAUGCAAUGCAUCAUAUUUGUGAAUUCUAAUGCAAAACAACCUAAUACAUAUCAUGGCAUUCGUGAUGCAUGGAUCAUGCUAAAUAGAUUUCAUUACUUUGAAAAUAAGAGAAGUUAUGUUCUACUCACCUUUGGCUGAUAUUGGACUGACUCUGAAGCAGCUAUCUCACUGCUGACCUUCUCGGUUCCUCGGGUCCGAUCCUACACAGGUGGACUCAAAUGAGGGACCAAACAUACUCUAACAUGACUUUAAACAUCUCCCCAAAAAUCCCCUAAAACAUUAUAAACAUGCAUGGAAAAACAGGCAAAAGAAAGCUGAACAGGGGACUUUCGGCGGCAGGUUCGGCAGCCGAAGGUCCCUCCAGAGCCGAAAGUCAGGCACUUUCGGGGGCAGGGUUCGGCAGCCGAAAGCCCUUCCAGAGCCGAAAGUCACAACCUUCGGGGGCAGGUUCGGCUGCCGAAACUCCCCUCCAGAGCCGAAAGUCCAAACUUUCGGGGGCGAGCUUAGGCGGCCAAAACUGCCUCCACAGGCAGGUUCGACGGCCGAACCUGGGCUCUCCCAAAAGGCAGAACCCGAUUCUGCCUUGCAUAUCCAGCCACCCACAACAUCCCAACAUGCAUCAAACCAUACUAAAACAUGCAUAAACACAUUUCCAAGCAUAUAGGGGCAUAAAACUAGCCUAUACCCCAAAAACAUCACAUUUAGCAUACAUUUAUCAUUUAACUAACAUAAACCCUAACAUUUUACAACUAGCCUAAACAUGCAUCAAAACCCUUAACCCCUUCUUAAAACUUACUUAAAACAUCAUAAAAGGCGUGGAUCGACACUUACCUCUUGAAGAUCGAGAGGAGAUGCAAUCCCAAACUCGGAGAUAUGGAGGAACGAGCUCCGGGGGUCUCUAAGCUUCAAAACUUUGAUCUUUAGCUCAAAAAUCUUCAAAACAAGAUGAAAGCUUGUCAAAAACUUGAAAGAUUUGAAGGAAAACAUAAAAUCGACCAAAGGAAGGGAAAAUCUCACCUAUGCCCGAAAAUAGAGAGAGAAAACUCGUCCAUUUUCGGACAAGGGGCCUUUUAUAGGUGGUUGGCCAGACCACCUUUGGGGGCCAAAGGUGCUUCCGCAAGAGCACGAUGUUCGGCGGCCGAACAUGAGAUUCGGUGGCCGAACCUGGACUCUUCCUCCAUGGUGUUUCUUUCAAAAACUCAUUUUCUUUCUUCAUUAAAACUAUAAAAACAUGUAAAACAUUUUAUAAAAACAUAUUUUACCCUUCUAGAGGGUUCCGAGAUCCGAGAUUCCGCCGGAAAGUAGGAAUUUCGAUGCCGGGGUCUAGCCGGGUAUUACAUUCUUCCCCCCUUAAGAACAUUCGUCCCUGAAUGUUCAACACACAAGCAUAGCAUGGCAUAAACAUAAACACAUAAACACUAACCUUAAAAGAGAUAGGGGUAUUGCUGGAGCAUAGACUCCCGUGUCUCCCAGGUACAUUCUUCUAUGUUGUGGUGAUUCUAAAGAACUUUCACCAUCGGGAUUUCCUUGUUCCUUAGCUUUCUGAUCUGUGUGUCUAGGAUCCGCACCGGUUGCUCAACAUAGGUGAGAUCUCCUAGGAUCUCCACAUCAGCCUCAUUAAGAAGCUUGCCCGGAUCUGACACGAACUUCCGUAACAUGGAAAUAUGAAAAACCGGAUGGAUUCUCUCCAUUGAAGCAGGUAGGUACAGCUUGUACGAUACAUUCCCAAUCUUCUGCAAUAUUUCAAAGGGUCCAAUGUGUCGUGGAGCUAGCUUACCUUUCUUCCCAAAACUAAUCACCCUUUCAUAGGAGACACCUUGAGCAACGCCAUAUCUCCCUCCUGAAACUCUACAUGCUUCCUGCGGACAUCUGCAUAGCUCUUCUGCCGACUCACAACAGUUUUGAUCCUUUAUCUGAUAAUGGGCACUACUCUGCUGGUGAUCUCUACUAGCUCAGGCCCUGCUAAGGCCCUUUCUCCAACUUCUUCCCAGCAGACAGGUGACCUGCACUUCCUUCCAUACAAAGCUUCAUAUGGAGCCAUCCCUAUGCUAGCAUGAUAGCUGUUAUUAUAGGCAAACUCCACCAAAGGUAGAUGUUGCCUCCAAGAACCGCCAAAAUCAAGCACACACAUUCUGAGCAUAUCUUCUAUGGUAUGGUACCCUCAUAAUGUCUAGCACCCUCAUAAUGUCCACAAAAUCUAGCACCCUUAUAAUGUCUCCCUUCAGACUUACGUCAUCUGGUACACAUAACCUGUUCCCAUAGCGGAGGAUCCCUUUGCUGUCAAAUCUGAACUCUUCAUUCUUGCCUGACUGAACAUCCUGGAAGUUUUCACUAACUCUGGGUCCUCAUGCUGUUUCUGAGCCACCUGCUCUAGAAACACGGGUGUCACUCUCAUCUGAGCUAUCAAAGCACCUGUACCAGACAAUUCCAACUGCAGCCCUUCAUCAAUGAGCUUGUAAAAUUCCCUCACCACCGGUCUUCUCUCUGCUGUAACAUGGGAUAAACUGCCAAGUAAUUUCCGGCUUAGGGCAUCUGCCACCACAUUUGCCUUACCCGGAUGGUACUGAAUCUUGCAAUCAUAGUCACUAAGCAGUUCCACCCAUCUUCUCUGCCUUAGGUUUAACUCUCUCUGACUUAAGAUGUACUGCUAGCUUUUAUGAUUUGUGAAGAUCUCACAUUUAACCCCAUAAAGGUAAUGCCUCCACAUCUUGAGUGCAAAGAUCACAACUGCCAUCUCUAGGUCAUGUGUGGGAUAAUUCAACUCGUGCUUCUUCAGCUGCCUAGAAGCAUAAGCAGUUACCCUCUCAUUUUGCAUCAACACACAACCUAGUCCCACACGGGAUGCAUCACAAAACACUGUGAAGUCUUCAUUACUGGUAGGCAGAGCUAACACCGGUGCUGACGUCAACCUUUUCCUCAGCUCUUCAAAACUUUCCUCGCACUGAUCAGACCAUACAAACCUCUGAUUUCUCUUGGUUAACCUGGUCAUAGGAGCGGCAAUUUUGGAGAAGUCAUGAACGAACCUCCUGUAGUAACCUGCCAAACCCAAAAAGCUCUUAAUCUCUAUCACUGUAGUGGGUCUAGGCCAGUUAGCUACAACUUCUACUUUCUUGGGGUCCACUUCAAUUCCCUUUUCUGACACAACAUGUCCCAAGAAGGAAAUGCUCCUCAACCAGAAUUCACACUUGGAGAACUUGGCAUACAAGCCGUACACCCUCAGGGUCUGCAAAACUAUCCUCAGAUGAUGGGCAUGCUCCUCUGCGUUUCUGGAAUACACCAAGAUAUCAUCAAUGAAGACAAUAACAAAGUGAUCCAGAUACUGACUGAAAACUCUAUUCAUGAGAUCCAUGAAUGCUGCAGGGGCAUUGGUUAGCCCAAAUGACAUUACUAGGAACUCAUAAUACUCAUAUCUGGUCCUGAACGCCGUCUUCGGCACAUCUUCCUCUCUGAUUCUCAGUUGGUGGUACCCAGAUCUCAGAUCUAUCUUGGAGAAGCAACAUGCUCCUGCUAGCUGGUCAAAUAGAUCAUCGAUCCUGGAUAGAGGAUACUUAUUCUUGGUAGUGACUUUGUUCAACUGCCUGUAGUCGAUACAAAGUCUUAAGGAUUCAUCCUUCUUCUUUACGAACAGCAUGGGAGCACCCCAAGGUGAGGUACUCGGUUGGAUGAAACCCUUGUCUACCAACUCUUGCAACUGCUCCUUUAGCUCCUUCAAGUCUGCUGGAGCCAUCCUGUAGGGGCGAAUAGAGAUUGGUCUGGUUCCAGGCAUCACUUCUAUUUCGAACUCUAUCUCCCUAGCAGGUGGUAGUUCUGGAAGCUCAUCUGGGAAGACAUCUGGAAACUCUCUGACUACAGGCACGGAGGUGGGCUCCCUAACCUGACUAUCAAGCUCUCUCACAUGAGCUAGAAACCCCUGACAACCUCUCCUGAGCAACCUACGAGCCUGUAGGGCUGAUAUCAGACCUCUAGGUGUACCCCUACUGUUUCCCCUGAAGACAACCUCUGACCCAUCUUGUCCUCUAAACCUGACUACCUUGUCUCUGCAGUCCAAGGAAGCACCAUGAGCGGAUAGCCAAUCCAUCCUUAGAAUGACAUCAAAACCAGUCAAAUUUAGAACCACUAGGUCUGCUGGAAGGCAUCUACUCUCAACAAACACUGGGCUAUACCGGCAGACUGACUCUGCCACUGAUGGAUCACACUUGGGUCCACUGACCCAGAGGGGACACUCUAACCCAGAGACUAUCAAACUCAACCUCUCUACGGCUCUCGGAGCAACAAAAGAAUGAGAUGCACCAGGGUCCAUUAAAGCAUACGCAUCUGAACAACCAAUGAUGAGAUUACCUGACACCACGGUGUUUGACGUGUUUGCCUCAUGCUGUGUCAUAGUGAAGAUCCGAGCUGGAGCUGAUAGACCUUCACCCCGGGAACCUGCUGAAGAAGAGGCUGCCCCUCUCCUUCGGCCUCUGCCACUGCCACUGCCUUGUGUCAUGACUGGAGCUACAGGUUGUGCCACACUGCCUGAAGCUGUCUGCUGGGACGGUGCCAUGAAAGCUGCCCUAGGACACUCCCAUGCCAUGUGUUCCUCCUGCCCACACCUGAAGCAGGCUGUUGUCCCAAAUCGACAUACUCCCUUGUGCGGCUUCCCACACCUCAUGCAUUCUGAACCAUCUGAACCUGAGCUCGAGCCACCACCUAAUCCCAGACCGGACUUUAACCGGUUCCAGAACUUGCUCUUCUUGGUCUUGGAUCUGCCCCACUUUUUACUACCUGAAGCUGCUGCACUCAGAGAAGAGGGAUCUAACUUUCCCCCGCCUGGGGUCUUGGAACCCGAAGACUGUGCCACUGACUAUUUAACUGACCCCUCAAUGAUGGCACUAGCCUCCAUCUUCCGUGCUGCAUCCACAAUAGUGUGGAAGCUCUCCCUCUCUGCUGCAAGGAUUAGGGAGGAAUACCUAAGCUGGAGCCUCAUGGUAUACCUCCUAGCUUUCUUCUGAUCUGAGUCAUAUGCCUGACCCACAUAUUGCAGCAACUCUAGAAACUUGUCGGUGUACUCAUCGACACUCAUCUCCUCUGUUUGCCUUAGCUGUUCAAACUCAAGAACUUUCAGCUCCCUGGGGAAAGCCCAUCCAGCAAACUCAUUUGCAAACUCCUCCCAGGACAAGCUCUCCAACCUCGGGUCCACAUAGUUUUUAAACCACUCUCAUGCUUUCUUGCACUUCAAAGUGAACCCCGCCAUAUGAAUGGCUCUACUAUCAUCUGCCUCCAGCUCAUUUGUUACCAUUUUUACCGUUUUGAGGUACUCAAACGGAUCAUCUCCCGUCUUGAACUUGGGAGCAUCCAGCUUCAAGUAAUCGGUCAUCUUUACCUUGCUCCUCACAGAUGAGCUAGGUUUGGGUGUUUGGAUUUCAGGGGAUACAGGUUCUGCUGGUGGUGGAGGAGGUGCAGCAUUCCCUGGGUUAGGGUUUGCUGUAUUUGGGUAGAAGGGUGAGGGUGGAUACGUGGGGUACUGUGGUGGGUAAAAAGGAGGGUAAGGCAUGUAGGAGGGAUAUGGGUUAAAGCUGGAGUAAUCCAAUGUACCCCCCAUUGGAUACCCUGGGCCCUGUGGAAAGGGUUGAUACUGGGGUGGAUAACCAAACCCCGAGGCCUGAGCGCCUCCUUGCGACUCUCCCAUGCCCUCUUCUGACAUACUCAUGCCCAAACUACCAUAUCUUCUCUAUUCAUCCUCCUCUGAUCCCCUUACAUCAGCUGACAUACCACCCUGAACUGUCCCCCUCCUGCUUACAUCAAAAGACCUUCUAGGGUCCCUUGACGGAACCUCUCUACUUGAUCUACAUGACAUUGCCCUUGGCAAAGUAGGGGGACGGGCAUCCAUGCCCUCAUUCUCUGGUGGGACUCCAGUCAAUCGUGCAGAUCGACGAGUGCCUCGCAUUCUGUUUUCUGAAACACAACAUAUACACAUAAACAUUAGCAUCAUAUGGUUCAUGUGGAAACAUAUGAACCCGCAUCAUACAUAGCAUAUCAAUAAUGCACAUGCAUAUAGUCAUGGCAUUUCACAUCAUCGUCAUGACAGGACUCUAUAUCCUAUCCUAGUGGACAUGAUUUUUCCUAUUGUGCUUGCCCUUCUAUGACAUCUAUGAGCCCGACACUCUCUAGGUCCGACCAUAUGAACCUAGGGCUCUGAUACCACUCUGUAACAACCUAGAAACCGGACUGCUACCGGCACUAGAAUCUAGAUCAACUUAAGGUCGCUGGGACCCUUAGCAAGCCUACUAUACAUCCUGUGUACCUGAUAAAAUCCUAUACAUGAUCAUACAUUUUUAUAAAAACUUUAAACUUUUCAUAUACCAAGCUUGACCUGUGCAUGCACCAUAACUGUAAACAUAAAACCCCACACUAGAGCCCUCAUCAAAUGCUCUAGUGGGGCAACAUAUCAUACGUCAAGCCUGGUUCAACAGAACUCAUCAUUAAAACAUUUCAUAUAGAUCAUGUACAAAAAGGGGAUUACCAUUACUAUUAGGGCCAAGCACAAUACUAAACCAUGAAACAUUUCUCUACAUUACAUUACAUCAUACCAUUUUACAUUACAUGUCCACUACUAAUCUAUUACACUUAACACAACCUUCAACCUUGACGACUUCCCGGUCUAUCCCGAACCUUCAAACCUGGGGGUUAAGGGAAAGGGGUGAGCUACUAAAGCCCAGUGAGCACAACAAUAAAAUAAUUUACUAAACAAAUGCUUUCAUGAAAUGCAUCACAACACAAACAAUUCACAUCACAGAUGGACUUGUCACCAAUAACCCCCUUUCCUCUUGAUCAUAACAAAAUGCCAAGACGCGUGGAAUGGGCAGCCCUGGACUUUCUUACGUGGUGCCAGGACGCGUGGCAUGGGCAGCCCUGGACUUGCUUAUCAUACCAUACCGAGGGCUAAUGGGUCAUCCAAUAUCCAUCCACAUCAACAUCAUAAUAUGCAAUGCAUCAUAUUCGUGAAUUCUUAUGCAAAACAGCCUAAUACAUAUCAUGGCAUUCGUGAUGCAUGGAUCAUGCUAAAUAGAUUUCAUUACUUUGAAAAUAAGAGAAGUUAUGUUCUACUCACCUCUGGCUGAUACUGGACUGACUCUGAAGCAGCUAUCUCACUACUGACCUCCUCUGUUCCUCGGGUCCGAUCCUACACAGGUGGACUCAAAUGAGGGACCAAACAUACUCUAACAUGACCUUAAACAUCUCCCAAAAAAAUCCCCUAAAACAUCAUAAACAUGCAUGGAAAAACAAGCAAAGGAAGGCUGAACAGGGGAUUUUCGGCGGUAGGUUCGGCGGCCGAAGG
rnacentral:lncRNA from 1 species